rfam:Pyronema omphalodes CBS 100304, CBS100304, WGS project CATG01000000 data, contig: Pcon_v1_contig406
GUCAAGAUGUCCGAGUGGUUAAGGAGUUUGACUCGAAUUGUCUAACGACCAACGAUAUCAAAUGGUUUCGGCCGCGCAGGUUCGAGUCCUGUUCUUGACG